UUCCGGUUGAUCCUGCCGGACCUGACUGCUAUCGGAUUGAUACUAAGCCAUGCGAGUCUUUGUAGUAAUACAAGGCAUACGGCUCAGUAACGCGUAGUCAACCUACCCUAUGGACAAGAAUAAUCUCGGGAAACUGAGCAUAAUUCUUGAUAGAUCAUAAUGCCUGGAAUGGUUUAUGGUUAAAAUGAUUCGUCGCCAUAGGAUGGGACUGCGGCCUAUCAGCUUGUUGGUGAGGUAAUGGCCCACCAAGGCGAUUACAGGUACGGGCUCUGAGAGGAGAAGCCCGGAGAUGGGUACUGAGACAAGGACCCAGGCCCUAUGGGGCGCAGCAGGCGAGAAAACUUUGCAAUGUGCGAAAGCACGACAAGGUUAGUCCGAGUGAUUUCUGCUAAAGAGAUCUUUUGCUAGUUAUAAAACCACUAGUGAAUAAGGGGUGGGCAAGUUCCGGUGUCAGCCGCCGCGGUAAAACCAGCACCUCAAGUGGUCAGGAUGAUUAUUGGGCCUAAAGCAUCCGUAGCCGGCUCUGUAAGUUUUCGGUUAAAUCUAUGCGCUCAACGUAUGGGCUGCCGAAAAUACUGUAGAGAUAGGGAGUGGGAGAGGUAGACGGUACUCGGUAGGAAGGGGUAAAAUCCUUUGAUCUAUCGAUGACCACCCGUGGCGAAGGCGGUCUACCAGAACACGUUCGACGGUGAGGGAUGAAAGCUGGGGGAGCAAACCGGAUUAGAUACCCGGGUAGUCCCAGCUGUAAACGAUGCAGACUCGAUGAUGCAUUGGCAUAUAGCCAGUGCAGUGUCGCAGGAAAGCCGUUAAGUCUGCCGCCUGGGAAGUACGUACGCAAGUAUGAAACUUAAAGGAAUUGGCGGGGG
rnacentral:rRNA from 1 species